CCCUUAGAUGUUCUGGGCCGCACGCGCGCUACACUGACGAAUGCAACGAGCUUAUAACCUUGGCCGAAAGGUCUGGGUAAUCUCCAAAUUUCGUCGUGAUGGGGAUAGAUUAUUGCAAUUAUUAAUCUUCAACGAGGAAUGCCUAGUAAGCGUAAGUCAUCAGCUUGCGUUGAUUACGUCCCUGCCCUUUGUACACACCGCCCGUCGCUCCUACCGAUAGAAUGGUCCGGUGAAGCGUUCGGACCGUGGCCUUUGGACGGUUCGCCGUCUGUUGGCUGCGGGAAGUUCGUUAAACCUUAUCAUUUAGAGGAAGGAGAAGUCGUAACA
rnacentral:rRNA from 1 species